UCAGGAUGAACGCUGGCGGCAGGCUUAAUACAUGCAAGUCGAACGGUAAGGCCCGAAGUAGCAAUACCGAGGGUACACGAGUGGCGCACGGGUGCGUAACGCGUAUGCAACCUGCCCCAACCGGGACAAAACAGCUGGAAACGGCUGCUAAUAUCCCAUGGCCAUCCGGGAGGGCAUCCUCCUGGAUGUAAAGAUUCAUUGGUUGGGGAUGGGCAUGCGUAUUAUUAGGUAGUUGGCGGGUAACGGCCCACCAAGCCGACGAUGAUUAGGGGUCCUGAGAGGGUUAACCCCCACACUGGAACUGAGACACGGUCCAGACUCCUACGGGAGGCAGCAGUAGGGAAUAUUGGGCAAUGGAGGCAACUCUGACCCAGCCAUGCCGCGUGAAGGAAGACGGCCCUAUGGGUUGUAAACUUCUUUUGCCGCAGAGUAACCCCGUCCACGUGUGGGCGGCUGAGAGUAUGCGGCGAAUAAGUAUCGGCUAACUCCGUGCC
rnacentral:rRNA from 1 species